rnacentral:lncRNA from 1 species
GUCAACGUCACUCACCUGGUGAUCCCUGCAGAGCUGGGCGCUUUACUGCAGAUGGCAGGAGUCCGGAGGGAGCUCCACUCCGACUGUUUGGCUCUGCUUCAAGCUCCUCACAUCCAGGAAGAGGCUCAGCUCACUCUGCCUCUGGACAUCAACAACUACCCAUUCUACCGCUACGUACAGAUCUACUUCAGGGAACCAAAGUUUGGGAUGCUGAUGGCUCCUCUGGAGUCACCCAUGACCCGUGUGGAAGAGGAUCUCAGAGGGGAGGCCCUGGAGCUCUUCAGCAUGGUAAGCUGGCUUCUUUUUGUCAAGUUGAACAUUUGAAUGCAAGGUCCAAAGA